UUAGAGAGCGAUGGGCCUGGCUGCUUAGACGUUAAGAUAAGUACCUAGGGUGAAGCAGGACAGGGAAAAGGCUGAGGGGCUGGGGAAAGCUCCAGCCUAGGAAAGCCCCAGGCCUGCGGCCUAGUAUGGGGCUAAGAGGUACUGGGGUUUGCAGGGGGCAACCUAAGGAUAGGCAAAGCAGCAGGUCUGAACCCUGUUGCCGGUGAUGAGAAGGCUGACACUGCAGUCUGUCCCAGGAUAUGGGGCUCGAUAGUGACUGAGCAGUAGCCAUUCUGAGGCAAGUGGGGAUAGCGUGGUGGCGGGGGUUCCCCUAAGAGGGGGAGACCCAGUUAGAGUAAAAGGGGCACCGGGUCCAGGGAGGGACAUGGGGCUGAGAGUAAAGCAGGUGGAUCACCAGCCUGCAGAGGGCGCUCCAGACUGGAAAAAGAGCUAAGUUGCGGAGUAACCAGUAGGAGGUGCCGCAGGGGAAAAGGGAAGGCGUUCUGUGGUGGAAGGCAGGUUGAAUUUAACAGAGUUGUCCCUCGGCCACACCCUCCAGCAGUGAUGGAUCCGAGAACUCAGAAUCCUCCCCCUUGGACUGUCCUUUCCAGUCAGAUCCCCAAGUGUACAGGCUUUCAUGUUCAGCUAUAUUUAAGCAGCUGUAGUGUAGCUAUUAGAAAGAGACUGCAUGUUUGAUGGCCACCAUCUUGGCUGACACACUGGGGACUGAACCAGAGACAAUCAGAACUAAAAGAAUGAGCUACUAUAUCUUGAAUUAAAGAGCCAAAUUUCUGUAUCUUGGUGCUGUAUCUUCUCAUGUCUUCAGCACAGAAGAUGAUGUGCAAAACACACUCACCAGUGGGUUAAACAUGUACUUG